GGGGGGGGGGGGGGGGGGGGGGGGUGGGGGGGGGGGGGGCGGGGGGGGGGGGGGGGUGCUCCGGGGGCGUUGGGGGCGGACGGGGGAGUAGCACGUGGAGAACCUAGCUAUGAGAGUGUGAUAAGUGCGGGCACACGGCGCUCGUACCGGGUGAUCGAGUGACCCGCAUGGUUCACUCGUGAACGACGGUUUUGCUUCGCCUGCUAGCUGGAUCCGCGCCGCUGUAGCUAGUUGGUAAGGUAACGGCUUACCAAGGCCACGAUGCCUAGCCGACCUGAGAGGGUGAUCGGCCACACUGGAACUGAGACACGGUCCAGACUCCUACGGGAGGCAGCAGUAGGGAAUCUUCCGCAAUGGGCGAAAGCUUGACGGAGCAACGCCGCGUGAGUGAUGAAGGUCUUCGGAUCGUAAAACUCUGUUAUUAGGGAAGAACAAAUGUGUAAGUAACUAUGCACGUCUUGACGGUACCUAAUCAGAAAGCCACGGCUAACUACGUG
rnacentral:rRNA from 1 species